UACGGAGGGGGCUAGCGUUGUUCGGAAUUACUGGGCGUAAAGCGCACGUAGGCGGACUGUUAAGUCGGGGGUGAAAUCCUGGGGUUCAACCUCAGAAUUGCCUCCGAUACUGGCAGUCUCGAGUGCGGGAGAGGUGAGUGGAAUUCCCAGUGUAGAGGUGAAAUUCGUAGAUAUUGGGAAGAACACCAGUGGCGAAGGCGGCUCACUGGCCCGUAACUGACGCUGAGGUGCGAAAGCGUGGGGAGCAAACAGG
rnacentral:rRNA from 1 species